rnacentral:rRNA from 1 species
AUUGAACGCUGGCGGCAGCCCUAACACAUGCAAGUCGAACGAGUGGCGGACGGGUGAGUAAUGUCUGGGAAACUGCCUGAUGGAGGGGGCUCACUACUGGAAACGGUAGCUAAUACCGCAUACCAUCAGAUGUGCCCAGAUGGGAUUAGCUUAUUGGUGGGGUAAUGGCUCACCAAGGCGACGAGCCCUAGCUGGUCUGAGAGGAUGACCAGCCACACAAGAACUGAGACACGGGCCAGACUCCUAAGGGAGGCAGCAGUGGGGAAUAUUGCACAAUGGGCGCAAGCAUGAUGCAGCCAUGCCGCGUGUAUGAAGAAGGACUGCGGGUUGGAAAGUACUUUCAGCGGGGAGGCGUUACCCGCAGAAGAAGCACCGGCGAACGCCGUGCCAGCAGCCGCGGUAAUG